rnacentral:lncRNA from 1 species
AAUACGUGAGGGUAGCAAUCCAGCACCAUCACAGAAAAUAUCUGAGGAAAAUUGGUGGAUAAUUUUUCACUGUGCAGAAAAUAACCUUUUGAAUAUGUUACUUCUUGCUUGUAAUUUUAUAAAUACAGUGUUACCAGUGAAUAUUGCUAAUUCUAUCUUUCAUUUUUCUUCAGCAUAAUCUGGCAUAGUGCAGUUGCUAUUGUUUAUUUUAUAUUAAUUUAUUCUAUUUUUUUCUAAAAAUAAUGGAAAUGAAGAUUUACAUUCCCCUCUUCCCUAGAUUUGUUCUUUGAAUUUCUUAAUUGUUUCAUAUUCUGAAAUUCAAUGGGGAAUCACACAUUCUGUGCUUUUUUUGGGAAUUAAAUUCCCUAAUGCAAGGCUACAUUUUUUAUUUGUUGAGUAACUGCCUAUUCACUUAGGGAAAACAUAGCAAUAGAAUAAUAACACAAAGUUGUUAGAAGACAGUCCAUAUUCUGUAUUUGGACACUCAUAUUUCAUAUAAUAAAGCAUAAUUGUUUUCAUUUUAAUUUGCCCUAGGUUUAUACUGCACAUAUGGAGAGGGAAGAGUCCACGUUUCUGCAUCUAUAGCAAAUGCAUCUCUGUAAGUCCAGGACAUGUAAAUAAAGUCAUGCAUAUUCUCUUGGUUCCAACAAGUGGUUCCUCAAGAGGAACAUCAAAUAUCUCUGGAGUAAUGUUUUCAUAACUGCUCUUCCCAACAAGACAAUCCUUCUAUCUGCUUCAGCACUGUGAUGAAAGCCAUGUUAAGGUACUCCUGACAUCUGUCCCUGGUGGCUCAGCACCAAACACAAUUGUGCACACACUUGAUCAUGUGUGAUAAAAUGCUAUGCUUUUCUUCAGCUCCAGCCUCAGGUUUGAUUAAGGUCAAAGUUAAAUUUAGCAGAAUACUGUGAAGCGGGAAAUAUAUUUACAAAGAUUCUGUCUUGCUGUAAAAUAUGUUAAACAUGAUAAAAUAUAUAUGUGAUGAAUCUUGGUUAUUUUCCCAUGGAAAUAUAAAGUAAAUUGACCCUCAUUACUCUUGAGGGCUUGUGUAAAUUCCUGUUGCCAGGUCUUAGCUGCAGGGAGUUCUGGCUUCGUCAUCUUGUAUGAUUUAUAGGACAAAUUCUGUGGUAGCGAUGAAAACAUAUAAUAACAUUAGCUGGCAAAAAAUUCUCCCUUUUCUUUUUUCAGAUUUUGGGUUUUAAUCAUAGCUCUUAUCACCCCAGUGAUGUGUCUAUGUGGGUAAUAAUGUUGUAGUACCAGAAUUAAAUGUACACAGAGCAGAAUCAGUACUGCUCAGUACAGACUCAGGGAAAGAAGUCCAGAUGCUGGCUGGUUUCCUUCCAGUUCUGACAUCUGCAAUUUCUAGUGAAGAAAACAGUACCAUAUUCAAGACUCU